rnacentral:rRNA from 1 species
AUGGAGGAGCCAAAUGCUGAAAUGGGAAUGCCAACCGGGGAGCUGAAAGGCAUCGCAUUCUAUCUCAUGACCAAUACAGAGAUGGAAAAGUCAAGCAGCGCGAGCAUUAUAGAACCAUCUGAUGUCAGCAGUGCCAAGUUGGGACUACCAAAUGGGGCACCACAGUGUGAGACUUGCGGAGCGCAGACUGUGCGUGAAUGUGAUGGUCAUUCUGGUGUGAUUAAGCUGCCGGCAACUGUGUUCAAUCCGCAUCUAUUCGAGGAAGUUGUUCAGUUACUGAAUCAGAUAUGUCCUGGCUGCCACACUCCAAAGCAGAACAGAGAUUCGAAGAGGUCGGAUGGGGCAACAAGUCAAGCAACUUGCAAGUAUUGCUCAAAGGAUGGCACUAAACAAUACCCCGAUGUAAUCUUUAAGACACUGAAAAGCCCAAGAAUAACACUGUCCAAGGCUAAACUUCUACGGGACCCUGACUUUAUGGACAAAAUUUCGCUUACUGCAGAAGUUGCUGACAGUGUGACUGGUUCACCUGAAGUUCUUCCCCUGGACUAUUGGGAUUUCGUACCUCAUCACCACCCCCCUCAAUCAAAUAUGACCAAGAUAUUAUUGUCUCCAUACCAAGCCUCUCACAUAUUGGAACAACUUGAUCCUGAGCUAUUUAGCCGGUUUGCUUCAAAGCCGGAGCUAAUUUUCCUGUCGUGUUUGCCGGUGACUCCUAACUUCCAUCGUGUGGCGGAGUUGCCCUAUGGGUUUUCAGAUGGCCCUCGCCUAGCUUAUGAUGACCUGACAAAAGCUUACAAGAGGACGGUUGAUGUCGGUAGGAAACUUGAUGACUUCCGUCAGCAUCCACAGUUCAGUGUUCUUGCAAGUUCACUUGUCACAAGCCGAGUUGUGGAGUGCCUCAAAUUGUCAAAGUUACACUCUAAAAAGACAGAUAAGGAAUCAUCAACAGACACACAUGGAAUGAAAUGGUUGAAGGAUGCCAUUCUCAGCAAACGGUCCGAUAAUGCUUUUCGGGGUACUAUGGUCGGUGAUCCGAAGAUUAGAUUGCAUGAAAUUGGCGUCCCUGUGGAUUUAGCUUCGAACUUGGUUGUUUCUGAGCAUGUUAACUCCUACAACUUUGACAGCAUAAAUUCGAAGUGCAACAGUUACCUUCUUGCCAAUGAAAAACUAGUCAUUAAGCGUAGUGGAAAGACAAUUAUUGUUCGGAAGCCAAAUCAGCUGGUAAUUGGCGACACUGUGCACAGGCUAUUGCAGGAUGGUGAUCUUAUUCUUAUCAACAGGCCACCGUCAGUACAUCAACAUUCCCUCAUUGGACUCUCUGCAAAAUUACUCCCAGUUCAGUCGGUACUUUCAAUCAACCCACUCUGUUGUGCACCACUCGCGGGAGAUUUUGAUGGGGACUGUUUGCAUGGAUAUGUCCCACAGUCCAUACAGUCAAGAGUUGAGCUUGGGGAGUUAGUUAGUUUGAGCCACCAACUAUUGAACGCGCAAGAUGGGCGAAGUUUGGUGUCAUUAACACAUGACUCUCUAGCUGCAGCAUAUCUGUUAACAAGCUCAGAGGUUUUACUAAAGAAAACUGAAGUUCAGCAAUUUCAAAUGUUAUUAUGCCAUCCACUCUCGCCGACACCAGGGCCAGCAAUAAUGAAAUCUAUACACUCUCAUGGUCCACUGUGGACCGGUAAGCAGUUGUUCAGCAUGCUGCUUCCGUCUGAUAUGAGUUUCAACAUUGAGCCUAAGGUACACAUCAUAGACGGUGAAGUUCUUGCCUGCCCAUCUGAAUCUUUUUGGCUGCAGAAUAGCAUAUCUGGCCUUUUUUCUGUCAUGUUCAAACAAUAUGGCGACAAGGCUCUUGAGUUACUCUCUUCUGCUCAGGAUGUACUAUGUGAGUUUUUAACCAUGAGAGGUUUAAGUGUCAGUCUUUCGGAUAUCUAUCUGUUCCCAGACCAUGACUCGAGGAGAAAACUAGCUGAUGGAGUUAAUCUGGCAUUGGAUGAUGCUGAAGAGGCUUUUCGUAUUAAACAGAUAUUGCUAAGUCCAGAUUCCAUACCGAUUCUGAAAUGUUAUGACGACUCUGCUGAUUUAUCACAAUCUUAUGAACAGUCCAGUUUCAUUCGGAGCAAUCUGCCAAUUAUAAAAUCUUCAAUCAUGGCAUUUAAGAGUGUAUUCAGUGAUCUUCAGAAGAUGGUUCAACAGCACACAGCCAAAAAUAAUUCAAUGAUGAUGAUGACUAAUGCAGGAAGUAAGGGUAGCAUGUUGAAGUUUGUGCAACAAACUGCAUGCGUCGGUCUUCAACUUCCAGCAAACAGAUUCCCCUUUAGAAUUCCGUCGGAACUCUCAUGUGCCAGCUGGAAUAGGCAUAAAUCUGAGGGCACGGGUGAAUGCUUGGGAGGCCAAAACUUGUAUGCUGUGAUCAGGAAUUCCUUUGCUGGCGGUUUAAAUCCAUUGGAGUGUCUUCUUCAUUCGAUAUCUGGCAGAGCAAACUUCUUCAGUGAGAAUGCAGAUGUUCCCGGGACUUUAACAAGAAAACUAAUGUAUCACCUGAGGGAUGUAUAUGUUGCUUAUGAUGGGACUGUUAGAAGUUCUUACGGGCAGCAGAUAAUGCAGUUCACUUAUGAUACUGCUGAAGACAUGUGCAGUGAUCGCAAUCCGGAAGGUGAACUUGGUGCCCCUGUUGGUUCCUGGGCUGCUUGUUCCAUUUCAGAAGCUGCAUAUGGAGCUUUGGAUCACCCAGUGAACAGCUUAGAGGAAUCUCCUCUCAUGAAUUUGCAGGAUGUAUUGAAGUGCCAGAAGGGUGGUACUUCUAUGGAUCAUGUUGGUUUGCUUUUCCUGUCAAAGCAUCUAAAAAAAUAUAGAUAUGGUUUGGAAUAUGCAUCGCUAGAAGUUAAGGAUCAUCUCGAGCCAGUGAACUUCUCUGAUUUGGUUGACACCGUCAUGAUCCUACAUGGGGGAUGUGGCAUACAGUCAACAAAAGGAAGCCCAUGGAUUACUCAUUUUCAUCUAAGCCAGGAAAUGAUGAUGAAAAAAAGAUUGGGACUAAGACUUGUUGUGGAAGAGAUUACAGAACAAUACAAUGCCAAAAGAGACAAGUUAAACAUCCCUAAAGUUUAUAUUUCGAAGGGCAAAUGUUCUGCUGACAAUGAGUGCGGUAACAGGCAGACUUGCUGUAUCACUGUGGUAACACAGGAUGAUUCAGACUCUAUGUCUCUAUUGGAGACUAUCAAGAAAAGGGUGAUUCCAAACCUCCUGGCCUUACUAGUGAAAGGAUUUUUGGAAUUUAAGAAAGUUGAGAUCCAGUGUCAAGAGGACAGUGAACUUAUUGUGAAAGUUAUUAUGUCUGAGGAGCACUGCAAGAGUGUGAAGUUUUGGGCUACUCUACAAAAGUCUUGCAUAGCAAUUAUGGAGUUGAUUGACUGGGAGAGGAGCCGGCCAGGGAGCGUAUAUGAUAUUUUUUGCUCAUAUGGCAUAGACUCAGCAUGGAAAUACUUUGUUGAAUCCUUAAGAUCAAAAACUGAUGAUAUUGGAAGGAAUAUUUGCCGCGAACACUUGCUGGUUGUGGCAAAUUGCCUGUCUGUAAGUGGGCAGUUCCAUGGACUAAGCAGUCAAGGUUUGAAGCAACAACGGACUCGAUUAUCAAUCUCAUCUCCAUUUUCUGAAGCUUGUUUUUCUAGGCCUGCACAUACUUUUAUAAACGCUGCAAAGCAGUCUUCAGUGGACAAUCUCUGUGGUACUGUAGAUGCAAUGGCCUGGGGCAAGGAGCCUACUACUGGGACAUCAGGUCCUUUCAAGAUUAUUUAUUCUGGGAAGGCGCAUGCACCCAUACCAAAUGAGAACAUCUAUGACUUCCUAAAUAGCCCUGAAGUUCGGCAAGCGCCGGGUGAAGCUUUCUUGAAUGGUAGCACCAUAUCUGUGGAGCAAGAUUUUCUUGUUGCUACAGUUGGUAUAUGGGACAACAUUAUUGAUAUGCGCACUUGCUUGCAGAACAUGCUACGAGAGUACCAAUUAAAUGAAUGUGUUGGGGAGCUAGAUAAAUCACGUGUAAUCGAGGCCCUGAGAUUUCAUCCCAGAGGGCGUGAAAAGAUUGGUGCUGGAAUAAAAGAUAUAAAGAUUGGCCAUCAUCCUAGUCACCCAGGAACAAGGUGCUUCAUUAUGGUACGGGACGACGGUACCACUGAGGACUUUUCUUACAAGAAAUGUGUCCAGGCUGCCGCGGAUUCUAUCUCGCCUGAACUCGGACGUUAUGUAGAGAGAAUACUACGGAACAGAGCAGUUUCGUCACAAUGUUAG